rnacentral:rRNA from 1 species
AACGUAGGACACAAGCGUUAUCCGGAGUUACUGGGCGUAAAGGGCGUGUAGGCGGGUCAAUAAGUCUAUUCUGAAAGCUCCUGGCUAAACUGGGAGAGGCGAAUGGAGACUGUUGGUCUAGAGUGAGGAAGAGGAAAGUGGAAUUCCGCGUGUAGCAGUGAAAUGCGUAGAUAUGCGGAGGAACACCAAUGGCGAAGGCAAUCUCCUGGACCUGCACUGACGCUCAUGCACGAAAGCGUGGGGAGCAAACAGG